AUCAUUUGUUAUUAUCCCACACAAUACAACAUUACAAUAAAGCGUUUAUGCACUCACAACAUCCGUGUGAAGCGCUGAUGUCUAGUGAUCACUGUUACAUUGAUCACCGACUGAUUUGUUAAUGAUCCUUCCGCAGGUUCACCUACGGAAA
rnacentral:misc_RNA from 1 species